AUGAUCCGACCCAGCAGUUAACUUCCCACAGCAUUCCUCUUUCUUCUCUCUUUUCCAAACUGCUCCAUGAUUUCAGGACCCGUUCCUGACCCACUAUUCAAUAUAUUCUACUACAGUUUACAAACCUGAAUUCAAAUUUUGUUUGUUCAAAACACGGAGAAACUGCUCCAUGAUUUCAGCAACCGAUACACACGUUCACAUUCAAAAUCAAGCAUCUUUCGAACCUAAUCAGUGAUAAGAUCUCAUGGGGAAUUUUUUUUUUAUUUUUAAAUCCAUCUCUUCCCUUUCAUAGGUGGUUAUCAAACAAGUACAAAAAAUCCGCUCUGUGUUCUGUGCCACCUUCUUCUAUCCGAGAGAACCAUAGAGGACGUCGUGUUGAUGAAAAUGGACUUGCUGGUGAUGUUAUUCAGAUGAUUGAAAAUGUCCACCCCAAUUCACAUACCACGCGCGGGAACUAAUGAUUUCAUUAAAACAGGCUUCCAUCUCUUCGUAUCACAACCAAGAAACUGUCAAAAGGAUCUCCUGAUUUUAUUGCUGAGAUUGUGCCAAAGAGAAAUCAUUCUGUGCCGGCUAGCGUGUUAACUGAUCUUCCCCAACAAAGCAGUAUCAGGAGUUUCCAUAGUUUUAUUGGAUACUCACAUGGUAAAUCCUGUCAUUUGUUCUUUUUAAUUGUUUGCUUUUGCUGAUAGAUGGACAUGCCCGGCACUGAAUUGUACAGUGGUAUCCCCUUUUCCUCUAUGUUCUUUGGUCUAAUGUGUUUUAGUUAAGAUAGUUAAGUAGUAAGAUAAUUUUUUAUUAACAUAUCCAGUUUCCCAGUAGUUUGGUUGUUUAAUAAUAAGUGGAAUGUCAAGUUUAACUGGUUAGAAUCUUUGUACCUUUUUAUUAAUAAAUUUAAUGGCCAUUAAGAUUAGGGGAUGUAAUUUUAUAUGUUUAUUGACAGGGUUCAACGCAACAAAUACCAUAGAAUGUUGUUGUAGAAAUGCUGAUUGUUCCCAGAUUGACGAUUUCAUCAUAACUCUCCGAGGCUCCGCUGCAAUUGUCAGUGAUUUUUGUUUAUUAUUCGUGGGGUUUUGGAUUAAUAUUGCUUUGUUUGAAACCCUUUUUCAGGUUAUGCUGCAAACAUGUUUGGAUUGCAUAGUUGAUAUGGAUUUUGCACUUUAUUUUAGUAAUUUUUUAUUUAUGUGGCAAUGUAAAAUAUGUGUGGUUUGUGCCUAUUUAUUUAUUAUUUAUUAUUUAUAUUUAUUUGACUUUUUGAGUUUAUUAUCAUUCUUCGAGCAGGUGGAUAAAAUGGAGAAAGUCGCGUAAGGCAGAGUUUGGAUCGGAAAUGAUGUUGCUUCACGAGGACAACUGUUUCGUCAUGGCAAGAAUCGAGACAUUCCAGGUGCAGCAUAAACCUUUCACUAUUAUGCAGGGGCAGCAGAUAAUAUACAUGGAGAUACACUGAAGAUGUCGAUGGACUAUCAAGCAUAUAUGUUGCUGAAUCCUGUUGGCGUCGUCGUGCACAUCAUCCCUUGGAACUUCCCGGCUCAAAUGUUUGCUAUGAAGGUUGCUCAAUCAUUAGCUGCUGGCUGCACCAUGGUUGUCAAACCUGCUGAGCAGGCGCCUCUUUCAGCUUUGUACUAUGCUCAUAUGACGAAGCUGGUAGGACACCUAAAUAGUAUGCCGCAAUACCUAGGUUCAUGUACAAGUAUUAUUUCUGCUGAUUUAGGACCUGCAUGUACUUUGUCUAUCCAAGUUUAUACAGUUUGUGUGUUUGCGUGACACAGUUUCACAAUCUUUUACCUCAUGUUUUUUGUCCAGGUACACGGAUUUGUACUUCAUCUCUGGCUGGUAAAACAACAAAAAUGCCUUACUACCCUACCCAAAGUUCAGGUUCAAAUAUUAUAUUCAUCAAGUACGAAGAAUAUAGUGACUUUAGCUCUGAAUAUAUUAUCAAGUCCACUAUAGUUAUUGGUAGUACAUGCAUUGGAAUCAGGAUUCUAAUCCUUAUGGUCUUUAGUUUUAGGUUAUUCUAGGUCGGAAGUGAACUCCAGUUAGGCUGUUCUAUGCUUUUGCAAUGGAAAAUGGUAGUAUUACCUUGAAUAUAUUAUCUGGUAUAUAUCAAUAUAUGUGUCUCUUGAAAUUUUGAACUACAUAUUGAUUUCAAUUUUGUGUAUAGAUCCUAAGCGCAGAUUACACACUUGAGCAUGCAUACAUAAACAAGUUAAGUCGAGAAACAUGACAAUAUUUUGUUUGAUAUGACUACUGAAAAGAGAUGAGUGAAUUUGCAGAAGUUAUAUAAGAGCUUGCACAAUAGCUAUUGGACUUGCUAAGUUGCUAUGUGAUAAUCUUGACUUAAAAAAGCUUUCUACUGCUAGCGCACACAGAUUUUGGCAGGAUCAUCUGGCAAUUUCAAGAUUACCAUGUUAGUGGCCUCUAGCUUCUCAAAAUGGCGAACGGAUUGAUGUUCAGCUUAUGCUCCACUGUAUUACUGUAUCAACUUAGGUGACCAACUCACCCCCAUCUCCACCUGGCUACAAUUUUAUACAAUAUAUGUAGUUACUUUCAUGAUCAAAAAGCUCGAAAUCGAUCUCAAGUCGAAGGAUGAGAUCUAUUACAAUUCUCUCUAAUCAGUAUAGUGGCUUGAUGAUUUUUGUCCUAGGUAAGUUUUUUCAUUUUUUAAGCCAGUCUUCUUUUUUCAAAUCGAUGGUUGUUUUGGUUGUGCUGGCAAGAUAAUUUUAUGUUCCUAUAUAAAUGAUUUACGCACAACAAACUUUAUUGUGAAAGGAGUAACAAAUGUUUAAGAAGGCUAUAUAUUUGUGAGCAGUCUGCUCAGCUUUUCCAACACAAAAAAGGCACAGGCAUCACUAAGCAGUUGAAACAGAAAGUUGCAUAUCUGAUCUCUCGAUGAAAAAUUACUUUGCGAUUAAAAUUUGAUUGUGUGCUCGCUAACAGUUUUCUUUCUCUUUUCAAGGUGCACGCGGAUGAACCAGUAUUGCAAGCAUUUAAACUGAUGAGGUAAGAGGGAUUCGGUAGGUUACCAGUGGUUGAAAGUAAUGGCAAUAUGGUAAUAUAAGCAUCAGAGACAUUCAGUUCCUACCACUUGCACCUGCUGUUUACAAGAAAUAAAGCCUAAAGGUAUCGAAGUUGGGUUAUUUAUAUUUCAGCAGCUUGAUCACUUGGAUGCUAAUCAUGGUAAGAUAGUUCCAGAUCGCUAUUAUUACUCAGCUGGUAAUGUAUUCACUUAAGGUUAUUUGACUGCAUCUAAUUAUGUUUUUCAUUCUUUUACUUUUCAUGAUUCCAUAUCAUCGUAGUGGAGUCGAGGAUAUACAAAUUCAAAGUACCACACGUUAACGGUUAACUAUCUUUUAUGCCUGUAAGAGCACUAUUAUACUGUUUCUGGAAUCCCCCGGCUGUAGCUUUCCUUUCCUGUAAACAAACAUAUAGCAUCACAAUUUAAUUGCUUUAACCUUUAUUUUAAAUUUAAAUUAUGACUCCUCUUUAUUCUAAAAUCAGCUCCUAUAAUAUCUUUACUGAUAUCCGUUGAAGUUAGUUUGUUUGACCUGUAUUUCUAUUCUGAGAGUUGAUUAUAAUAUUACUGGAUUUACACCCUUAUAUCAGAGUCGUUUCUUUCUUGGAAUUAGUUGAGAUUUAAGAUGGGAUCCAGAAAAGUUAGGAUAUAACCACACCCAUUAAGUUUCUGAUAGCAAACCUCAAACCCAUUGUUACGAACAACUGUGCAAAAUUACUUGACAUGCUGAUUUUGAUUGCCAAAUUUCAAGCAUUAAAGUUUCAACUGGUAGUAUAUCUAUUCAAGUCGACUCAGAGCUCGGUCCUCUCCGAGUCUGCAGUGCUCUAGAAGCAAGAAGUUUAUUGUUUCUUACAAGUAGAAUGAAUAGUUUAGACGUUAACUAUGCAAUUCAGAGAGCCCCGUCCACCUGCAGGAGACGGACUUUUUUUUUUUGUUUUUGCAGGCAGGAGAUUGUUCUGUACAAUGUGUUGAGAACGCUUCACGAGAAAUUUAUCCUGCCGUCUUUCUAAGAGUCCAAGUUGAGGAGCUAGCAAGGUUUCAGAGACACAUUCUGUUUCUGUUGGGGACAUGUUUAUUAAGCUAAUAAAGUUGUAUAAGUUGAUGGUUUUGUGAAUUCCGGAGAUCCUGCAUCUCUUGCAAACGUGAACCAGUAUAUGUUGCCUAUAUAGAAGAAUAUAGUGUUCCUCCUGUGACUAUAAACUGGUUUUUGGUUAAUUUUUUGUACAAACUUUGUUGUCGGUAUGAAAUCUUCUUUCAGAAUAUAGUGAU